rnacentral:rRNA from 1 species
GAUGAACGCUGGCGGCGUGCCUAAUACAUGCAAGUCGAGCGAAUGGAUUAAGAGCUUGCUCUUAUGAAGUUAGCGGCGGACGGGUGAGUAACACGUGGGUAACCUGCCCAUAAGACUGGAUAACUCCGGGAAACCGGGGCUAAUACCGGAUAAUAUUUUGAACUGCAUGGUUCAAAAUUGAAAGGCGGCUUCGGCUGUCACUUAUGGAUGGACCCGCGUCGCAUUAGCUAGUUGGUGAGGUAACGGCUCACCAAGGCAACGAUGCGUAGCCGACCUGGGAGGGUGAUCGGCCACACUGGGACUGGGACACGGCCCAGACUCCUACGGGAGGCAGCAGUAGGGAAUCUUCCGCAAUGGACGAAAGUCUGACGGAGCAACGCCGCGUGAGUGAUGAAGGCUUUCGGGUCGUAAAACUCUGUUGUUAGGGAAGAACAAGUGCUAGUUGAAUAAGCUGGCACCUUGACGGUACCUAACCAGAAAGCCACGGCUAACUACGUGCCAGCCGCCGCCGUAA